ensembl:lncRNA
AAUGAGACUAACCGAGGAGGAGGAUCUUGGAGUACAGGAAGGAGUGGCAAUGUGCAGAAGAUGACAGAGAUAUUGAGGAGCGAGAUUAUGGAGAGACUUAAAAGACAGGAGUCUGAGAAGACGUCUUUCCCUCUUCCUGACCAGCUGCUCUAAAACACAAAGGUAUUUCCAAGCAAGUCAAGAGAUGUGAGUUUGACUCGAGAGAGUUUCAACAGCAUCCAACUGCCAAGGCUUCUGCCUUUCAUCUUUUGUCUCCAUGCCUUUUCCUUUGUCAUUGUGUUUUGACCGCCACCAGAUCCACAUUGCAUGGGACCCUUACUUCCCUUCUUCAAGAACAUGGGGCAGGUGUAGAGUGGAUCAUCUACCAAUCUGAAGGUCAGUGGAGUGACUUCUGAGUCCUGCAGCUUUCUGCAGCUUGUGGAGAAGGAUCCUUAGUCAAAACUCUGAGUUAACAACAGUGC